GAUGAACGCUGGCGGCGUGCCUAAUACAUGCAAGUCGAGCGAACGGACGAGAAGCUUGCUUCUCUGAUGUUAGCGGCGGACGGGUGAGUAACACGUGGAUAACCUACCUAUAAGACUGGGAUAACUUCGGGAAACCGGAGCUAAUACCGGAUAAUAUUUUGAACCGCAUGGUUCAAAAGUGAAAGACGGUCUUGCUGUCACUUAUAGAUGGAUCCGCGCUGCAUUAGCUAGUUGGUAAGGUAACGGCUUACCAAGGCAACGAUGCAUAGCCGACCUGAGAGGGUGAUCGGCCACACUGGAACUGAGACACGGUCCAGACUCCUACGGGAGGCAGCAGUGGGGAAUCUUCCGCAAUGGGCGAAAGCCUGACGGAGCAACGCCGCGUGAGUGAUGAAGGUCUUCGGAUCGUAAAACUCUGUUAUUAGGGAAGAACAUAUGUGUAAGUAACUGUGCACAUCUUGACGGUACCUAAUCAGAAAGCCACGACUAACUACGUG
rnacentral:rRNA from 1 species